AUUGAACGCUGGCGGCAGGCCUAACACAUGCAAGUCGAACGAGUGGCGGACGGGUCAGUAAUGUCUGGGAAACUGCCCGAUGGCGGGGGCUAACUACUGGAAACGGUCGCUAAUACCGCAUACCAUCGGAUGUGCCCAGAUGGGAUUAGCUAGUAGGUGGGGUAUUGGCUCACCUGGGCGACGAGCCCUAGCUGGUCUGCGAGGGUGACCAGACACACGGGAACUGAGACACGGUCCAGAGUCCUACGGGAGGCAGCAGUGGGGAAUAUUGCACAAUGGGCGAAAGCCGUAUGCAGCCAUGCCGCGUGUAUGAAGAAGGCCUUCGGGUUGUAAAGUACUUUCAGCGAGGAGGCGUUACUCGCAGAAGAAGCACCGGCUAACUCCGUGCCAGCCGCCGCGGUAAUAC
rnacentral:rRNA from 1 species